rnacentral:rRNA from 1 species
AUGGCGAACAGUUUGCAGCAUAUACUAAGUGCAGUGCCAAAGGCCAUACCUUAUGCGUUGUUAGAAGAAAUUACAGACAACUUUUCAGAUGAGCGAAUGCUUGGUCAAGGUGGCUUUGGAAAAGUUUACUGGGGAAUGUAUAAUGGAGAAGAAAUUGCUGUGAAAAAGCUUAGAAUGAUACAGCACCUUGCUGAUGAGCCACAAUUUAACAAUGAACUUCUUAGUCUUGUGCAUGUCCAACAUCAAAAUAUUGUCAAGUUAGUUGGCUACUGCUAUCAAACAAAACAUGAAGUUAAUGUAUACAAUGGAAGACUUGUCGUGGCUGACGUGAUAGAAAGAGUUCUCUGCUUUGAGUACCUUUCCCGUGGAAGCCUCGACGAAUAUCUUUCUGACGAAUCCUGCGGACUUGAUUGGUACGAACGUUACAAAAUAAUUGUCGGGAUUUGUGAGGGUCUAAAUUUCCUUCACAAUGGAACCAAAAGAGCAGUUUACCAUCUUGAUUUAAAACCUGCAAACAUAUUGUUGGAUGAGAACUGGAUGCCAAAAAUUUGUGACUUCGGUCUGUCAAGACUCAUUAGUAACUCAGCAAAAAGCCAUAACGCGGAACACUGUAUCGGAACACCUCCCUUCAUGCCACCAGAAUACAUAGAGAAGGGCAGAAUCUCUGACAAGUAUGAUGUUUUCAGCUUAGGCGUCACAAUCAUACAAAUAAUUGCAGGCCGUGAUGGCCAUAGCAAAUAUGAAGACAUGCCUUGCCAAAAAUUUGCUGAACUUAUACGGGCAUAA